rnacentral:rRNA from 1 species
UCAGGAUGAACGCUAGCGACAGGCUAACACAUGCAAGUCGAGGGCAUCACGGGAGUAGCAAUACAACUGGUGGCGACCGGCGCACGGGUGAGUAACGCGUAUGCAACCUACCUAUCAGAGGGGAAUAACCCGGCGAAAGUCGGACUAAUACCGCAUAAAACAGGGGCACCGCAUGGUGAUAUUUGUUAAAGAAAUUCGCUGAUAGAUGGGCAUGCGUUCCAUUAGGUAGUUGGUGAGGUAACGGCUCACCAAGCCGACGAUGGAUAGGGGAACUGAGAGGUUGGUCCCCCACACUGGUACUGAGACACGGACCAGACUCCUACGGGAGGCAGCAGUGAGGAAUAUUGGUCAAUGGGCGGGAGCCUGAACCAGCCAAGUCCGCGUGAAGGAAGAAGGAUCUAUGGUUCGUAAACUUCUUUUGCAGGGGAAUAAAGUGCAGGACGUGUCCUGUUUUGUAUGUACCCUGAGAAUAAGGAUCGGCUAACUCCGUGCCAGCCGCGGC